rnacentral:rRNA from 1 species
GUGAGGAAUAUUGGUCAAUGGGCGAGAGCCUGAACCAGCCAAGUCGCGUGAAGGAAGAAGGAUCUAUGGUUCGUAAACUUCUUUUGCAGGGGAAUAAAGUGCGGGACGUGUCCUGUUUUGUAUGUACCCUGAGAAUAAGGAUCGGCUAACUCCGUGCCAGCAGCCGCGGUAAUACGGAGGAUCCGAGCGUUAUCCGGAUUUAUUGGGUUUAAAGGGUGCGUAGGUGGUUUGAUAAGUCAGCGGUGACAGUUUGCAGCUUAACUGUAAAAAUGCCGUUGAGACUGUCGGACUUGAGUGUAAAUGAGGUAGGCGGAAUGCGUGGUGUAGCGGUGAAAUGCAUAGAUAUCACGCAGAACUCCGAUUGCGAAGGCAGCUUACUAGGCUACAACUGACACUGAAGCACGAAAGCGUGGGGAUCAAACAGGAUUAGAUACCCCGGUAGUCC